GACGAACGCUGGCGGCGUGCCUAACACAUGCAAGUCGAACGGAGCAGAUCCCUUCGGGGGUUUGCUCAGUGGCGAACGGGUGAGUAACGCGUGAGGAACCUGCCUUUCAGUGGGGGACAACAGUUGGAAACGACUGCUAAUACCGCAUAACAUACGGAUGUCGCAUGGCAACCGUAUCAAAGAUUUUAUCGCUUGAAGAUGGACUCGCGUCCGAUUAGCCAGUUGGCGGGGUAACGGCCCACCAAAGCGACGAUCGGUAGCCGGACUGAGAGGUUGAACGGCCACAUUGGGACUGAGACACGGCCCAG
rnacentral:rRNA from 1 species